rnacentral:rRNA from 1 species
UACGGAGGGUGCGAGCGUUGUCCGGAAUCACUGGGCGUAAAGGGCGCGUAGGCGGCCUGAUAAGUAGGGGGUGAAAUCCUGCGGCUUAACCGCAGGGCUGCCUUCUAAACUGUCAGGCUCGAGCACAGUAGAGGCAGGUGGAAUUCCCGGUGUAGCGGUGAAAUGCAUUGAGAUCGGAAAGAACACCAACGGCGAAAGCACUCUGCUGGGCCGACACUGACACUGAGAGACGAAAGCUAGGGGAGCAAAUGGG